CCCUUAGAUGUUCUGGGCCGCACGCGCGCUACACUGAUGCAUUCAACGAGUUUCUUCCUGGUCCGAGAGGAAUGGGUAACCUUUUGAAAGUGCAUCGUGAUAGGGAUAGACUAUUGCAAUUAUUGGUCUUCAACGAGGAAUUCCUAGUAGACGUAGUUCAUCAGACUGCAUCGAUUACGUCCCUGCCCUUUGUACACACCGCCCGUCGCUACUACCGAUUGAAUGGUUUAGUGAGAAUUUUGGACUGGAACUCCCUUGCUCAGCAAUGGGCGAGGGGGAGUCCGGGAAGCUAUUCUAACUGUAUCAUUUAGAGGAAGUAAAAGUCGUAACA
rnacentral:rRNA from 1 species